rnacentral:rRNA from 1 species
GGGGGAUAGUUCAUGUCAAAAGGGAAACAGCCCAGAUCACCAGUUAAGGCCCCUAAAUAUAUGCUAAGUGGCAAAGGAUGUAAAUAGACGUAGACAACCAGGAGGUUUGCUUAGAAGCAGCCAAGUUCCUUUAAAAAGUGCGUAAUAGCUUACUGGUCAAGUCCAUUUGCGCCGAUAAUGUAUGGGACUAAGCAUUUUGCCGAAACUGUGAGUUUACGGUAGGAGAGCGUUCUGCUUGGGCUGAAGUAAAAAUGGAAGUUUUUAUGGACUUAGCAGAAGUGAGAAUGUCGGCUUAAGUAACGAAAACACUAGUGAGAAUCUAGUGCUCCGAAAACCAAAGGAUUCCUUUGCAAGGUUCGUCCACAAAGGGUUAGUCAGGUCCUAAAAUGAGGCUUAAAAGCGUAGUUGAUGGAAAACAGGUUAAUAUUCCUGUACUGCACCUAGUUUGAUUAAGGGUGACGAAAGAGGUUAUGGUCAGCCAGUUUUUGGAAUCUGGUUUAAGCUUUCGAGGUAUUGAGAAGUAUUAAUAAAAGAUACUUUGAGCUGAGAAGCAAAUAUUUUUUUACUAAGGUAAAGAAAUGACUUUAGUCAUGUUUCCUAGAAAAACCCUAGCAAUUCCAUUAACUAGAAUGCACCUGUACCUUAAACUGACACAGGUCGGUAGGUAGAGUAUACUAAGGAGAGCGAGAUAACCCUUUUUAAGGAACUCGGCAAAAUGGCCUUGUAACUUCGGGAGAAAAGGUGCCCUGGUCAAAACCAGGGUUGCAGCGAUCAGAUCCAGGCGACUGUUUAUCAAAAACACAGGUCUCCGCAAAGUUGAAAAACUAUGUAUGGGGGCUGACGCCUGCCCAGUGCCGGAAGGUGAAAGAAACUUGUUAGCUUUCGCGAAGCUCGUGACUUAAGCCCCGGUGAACGGCGGCAGUAACUAUAACUGUCCUAAGGUAGCGAAAUUCCUUGUCGGGUAAGUUCCGACCUGCACGAAAGGCGUAACGAUCUGGAUACUGUCUCAAAAAGGGACUCGGUGAAAUAGAACUAACUGUGAAGAUGCGGUUAACUUACACUUGGACAGAAAGACCCUAUGAAGCUUUACUGUAGUUUGAAAUUGAUUUUCGACUUUCUUUGCGCAGAAUAGGUGGGAGGCUUUGAUUUAUUCCUUCCGGGGAAUAUUGAGCCGUCCGUGAGAUACCACUUUAAGAAAGUUAAAAAUCUAAUUGCGUUUCCUUAUAGGGACGCUUGACCCUUUCAGAUGGGCAGUUUUACUGGGGCGGUAGCCUCCUAAAAGGUAACGGAGGCUUACAAAGGUUUUCUCAAGCUGGUCGGAAAUUAGCUUUGGAGUGUAAAGACAUAAGAAAGCUUAACUGUUAGACUUAUAAGUCAAGCAGUGACGAAAGUCGGUCUUAGUGAUCCGACGUUACUUAAUGGGAAGGACGUCGCUCAAAAGAUAAAAGUUACUCUAGGGAUAACAGGCUGAUCUCCCCCAAGAGUUCACAUCGACGGGGAGGUUUGGCACCUCGAUGUCGGCUCAUCGCAACCUGGAGCGGUAGUACGUUCCAAGGGUUGGGCUGUUCGCCCAUGAAAGCGGUACGUGAGCUGGGUUCAGAACGUCGAGAGACAGUUCGGUCCAUAUCCGGUGUAAGCGUUGGAGUAUUGAAAGGAACUUUUUCUAGUACGAGAGGACCGAAAAGGACACACCAAUGGUGUACCAGUUCUUAUGCCAAUAGGACACGCUGGGUAGCUAUGUGUGGAGUGGAUAACUGCUGAAAAGCAUAA